rnacentral:rRNA from 1 species
UCGAGAGUUUGAUCCUGGCUCAGAACGAACGCUGGCGGCAGGCCUAACACAUGCAAGUCGAACGAUAUAGUGGCAGACGGGUGAGUAACGCGUGGGAACGUACCUUUCACUACGGAAUAGCUCCGGGAAACUGGUGGUAAUACCGUAUACGCCCUUAGGGGGAAAGAUUUAUCGGUGAAAGAUCGGCCCGCGUUGGAUUAGCUAGUUGGUGAGGUAAUGGCUCACAAAGGCGACGAUCCAUAGCUGGUCUGAGAGGAUGAUCAGCCACACGUGGGACUGAGACACGGCCCAGACUCGUACGGGAGCAGCAGUGGGGAUCUGCACA